rnacentral:lncRNA from 1 species
GCCAUGAGGGCGGGAACCCUCGUACGCGGAAGUUCAUGAGGGCGGGACCCUCGUACGCGGAAGGUCAUGAGGGCGGGACCCUCGUACGCGGAAGUUCAUGCGGGCGGGACCCUCGUACGUGGAAGGUCAUGAGGGCGGGACCCUCGUACGUGGAAGGUCAUGAGGGCGGAACCCUGGUACAUGAAAUUCGUUCUCUUAUUUAAGAGACAAAGAACGCCCUUGUUUUUUCCACCACGUGAUGGCGCAGACAGAAGACAACCAGCAUCUAUGAACCAGGAAGCCCCCACCAGGCACUGAAUCUGCCCCUGCGUGGAUCUUAGACUUGCAGACUCCAGAACUAACCUUACAAUGUCUCUUCUCCAUUAAGAAAACCUACUUCAACAUCUCCAUUGGUUCUCAACAUAGAGGUCCAAAUUUUGGUCUGGAGCCAGAGACAAUAUAGGAUGAAGUUUGAUUUGUUCCAAAACCCACAGAAAUCUCUAAAAUGGAAGAAUUUUCUUAGAACCAAAAGGCAUGGAAUUGAUGACAUGAAACUGGUAGAGGUGGUUUCUGCUAUUUUGGAGCCUGGCCUCUAACAGCCCAUGAGACUCUCGGCUCACUCUCUGUCUCUGCUUACAAGCUAGAAGAGAUACUGUCUGAGACGACAGAGAUGCACAAUGGAAGGAAUCGUGAUCUCUAAGCCACUGCUUGAAAGAGAUUGGUCAGGGCAUCUGUUCAACUUGCCUGGGUUCUACAUGAGAAGCACGUCUUGCUUUUGUUCAGCACAUUCAGCGAGUGAUUGCCAUUACCCUGACGCAUGCUGAAGUUGACAAGUCUUGGACCAAGCCUGAGCUUCUCAGCUGACCUGUGAUGGAGUGUUGUGCCCAAGUGGAAAGUUCUUCUUUCUUUCAGAGACAUAUCAUUCACCAUAAAAUACAACCAGAGACUUCAAAAUUACUCCAGGCUAGAAGGACACUCCAAUUAGGGGAAAAGUAACCUAUGGGCAAACCAUCUUCCGUAAGAGUUCAAGGACAAAAAACUACUGAUGUUGUAAUAACAUUGAAACUUAAUGUUUUGGGCAAUCCUUAAGUGAUUUAUUUGGAGUGUCCCAGUCAUUUUAGACCUCUUCACCUUACAAUGUAUUGUGUGAGAUUAUAUUUCCAUGCACCUAAUUUUAAAAUAAAUUUAUUUAGGUAGAUGUAGAGACAUA